UCUCGCAGUGUGCUAUUCGUAAUCGGGGCGUAAGAGUGCACCGGUGCUCGGACGACUUACCCCACGUGCGCGCGUAUAUCAUGCGAUGUGCCCCGCCGCCAGUCGUCACAUUACCGUUAACGCGUGCGAGUCGAGUGUGAAACCGAUUGGUGUUUAGAAAAAUAUUCCGUUCCGUUAGUAUUUUGUUUGUUGAAAGAUAUACAAUUUUUUUCGCAAAUAAAAUAAAAUAUUAAGCUAUUGCGUUUUUAGAUAAUUUUUUAAAAAAAUUUUUCCCGUUCGUGUUUUCAAUGAAAUAUCACUGAUCGGUCCCGACGAUUGUUAAAUAUUUCUCGUCGUUUGCACUUCGCGGUGAAAAAGAGUCAUCUAUAUAAAAUAAUACAUCAUCAAUCUGGACCGUGUGCGAUCACGAUGGACACUACCUAACAGAACAUUUCGUCCGCAACAGCAUAACAACAACAACGACAACAAUAAUAAUAAAUCUACCUAUCAUAAUAUUAUGUGCCGUGUGACACUCGCGUGGUUUUCGUGUUGAAUACGCGUUACGUUUUUUUCGUUCUUGUUAUUUUCUAAACCGUCGAUAUCGCUAAAUACAGUGCCGACGACCACUUCGCGCCACCUCAAAAAUACCCAAAAUACCACCUACCCCUUACAUCUACACUGCUGCAAUGACGGACCCGUAUGACGACCGACGCAAUCCGUACAAAGAAGUGGGUCGGUGGUGGUGAUACGCGCGACAUGUCGAAUGGUGGUGACGGCGCAGCAGGUGCAGUUUGCGCGUGUGGCCGUCGCCGUCGCCGUCGUCGGACGGCGUCGUCCUCGUCUCCGUCGCCGUCCGUGCUGGCCGUGUGGACGACGGCGUUCGUGCUGGCCGUGAUCGUAGGCGGCGGCGGGGUCGAAGCGCUACACUCGGCCGCGGCCGUCUCGACGGCUGGCGGCGGCAGUGCGGCUGCGGCAGCUGCGGCGAUGGCGGCGGGCCGGAUGGCGCCGUGCGCCCACCUGGGCGACGAGACCAACGACGUGUCGGCUCGGGCGUACGCGUCCGACGUGGUGUUCGAGGGCAAGGUCCGGUCCAAGGGCCCGGUACGGCCCGGGGAUGGUACGUACGGCGUCACGUUCGUGGUACAGCGCGUGCACAAAGACGCCAUGCAGGCGGUCACGUACGAGGGACUGCGGGUCGGCAGCCCGGUGCGACUCAACUUUCGCGAGAAGCGCGGUGACCGGGACCCACCUCAGCGGAGGCCGCCGCUCCAGCGCCGGGUGGACGCACAGUGCGUGCAGCGGUUCGCGCCGGCCGCCGGCGGUCAGACCGUCGAGGCCAACAUCAAACGCGGCGCCAAGUACCUGGUGUUCGUGGCCGGCGUCGGGCCGCACAAUCUGUCCGUGCUCGGCGAACCCGUGUUGCGAACGCCCAAGAACGUGGACGCCGUGCAAAAGGUUCUGUGCAGGGACUGUGUUCAGCCAAUCGGCGUGUGGGGACUUCACAAUACAACGUUAAAAGUCAAAAGCGCUUUGAAGUUGAUGUGCAGAGCCAAGGGCAACCCGAUGCCCGCUCUACAGUGGUUCAAAGACGGCCAACCGAUUUUGGUGGGCAGGCGAAGGAUUCAAUAUAAAAAGAAAAGAUCCAUGCUUGUGAUACCAAAGGUGAGGCCAGAAGACGGAGGCAAGUAUGAGUGCAGAGGUACCGGAGUCCAAACCGGCCAUGUGGCUAUUACGUCGGCCCAAGUAAUAGUUAAUUCCAAACCGGACAACACGACAGCCCUGUGGCCGUUGGUCGGCGGUCCCUGUCCAGCAGAUCUCGUAUAUUGUCUGAACGGGGGCACUUGUACGUUCUACGAAACCAUCGGAGAGCUCGUUUGCCAGUGCGCCGAAGGCUUCAAGGGUCAACGGUGUGAGAACAAAGACAUUGUUAACAAAAGCACCAACGAUCAACCGCUGCAUUAUGUUUUAUUUUCGCUUUUUACCCCUCUUUCGGAAGUGGCGGGUGAAUGAUGUGUAAAAAAACUAUUUAUCCCAACAAUUGUUACGUACAUUGUACACAUGAACUGGACGAGUCAUUUGAAUCGCUCCCAAACACACGAAAGUUUGAUCGUAUACAGUACACGGUGGGGGUGUGGAUUUUUGUUUGCAGAUUCAAAACAAAAUAAGAAACAAAACACCAUUGGAAAUGACACAAAUAAUUUCGGCUAGUGACGCGUUGACACAAUAAUAUGCUGUUAUAUCGAUGUAACUGAACAUUGGACAGCGGCACUAACCCGAGCACAUUCUACAACAAACACGGCUAGAUGAAUACAAUAUAUAAUUCUUUAAACUUUUUUUUCUCGACAAUUUUUUUUAUACAUUCAUACAUAAUAAAAUGUUUUAUACGAAACGAAGCUUUACGUUAGAUACCCGUGUGUAUAUUAUUACUAUACAUAAAUAUAGUAUAUAAUAAUAUAACAAUGUGCAACUUAACUUUAUUGCUACCCCUAUUUUUCAUCGCUAUGAUAUAACACUAAACAAAAAUAUAAUAUAACUGCAUAUUAGUUCUCAUACUUAGUUAUAUAGCUAAUUUAUGCAAUUAUACGAUAGAGUAAAUACAUUUUUAACUUUAUAAUAAUAUAAGGGCUAUUUAAACUUGUUAACUUUUAAAUUCUAAGUUAUUUUAUUUGUUUUGUUUACAUAUUAUAUAUAUAUAUAUAAAUAUCGCACCGAUUUAGUGAAAAGUAUCCAUAUCGUGAAUAAAACUUUUUUCACGCAUCAUGGAUGGUUAUUCUUGUUACAUCCGUGAUACGGAUUUUAAUUUUGUACACUUAAUUUGUGAUUUAAUUUAAAAUAAAAAAAAUUAGUGUAUAAUAGUCAAUUGUAUCAUAUUAUUAUGUGUUACAACAAUUUGAUUAAAUAAAAUGUGUAUGAACAAUUUAAUUUACUACCUAAAAUAAUCGUGUGUUAUUAAUAAAUAAUAUAGGUACAGUUCCAACUUCUAGUAGGUAUAUACUCUAAUAGGACGUCCAUAUCAUGAAAAUAUGUUUCACGAUUUUGAAAAAAAAAACUAUACAUUUCGUGAAAACUUACAGUCUACUAUUGUACAAAAAUAAAAGUUAUUUCAUAACGUGUAUACACAAUAUUAUUGAUCAUCCGUGUAGUGUAGAAAACGUAUAAUUCACGGUAUAUAGGUAAGAAAAAUAAGUCCCACUUCACUAAAAAAAAAAGAUUUUACAAACUAGGUGCGACGUUUAUAUGUAUUAUAUUAAUUGUAUAUAUUAUUAUAUUUAUGUGAUUGAUUUUCAUUAAGGCUAAAGGUUGUGAUGUUUGUUAUGUUCCAUAUGUAUUACUUUUAUUUUAUAUAAGUAACACUUAAUCGUGUGUAUAUUUUUUUUAUGUUUUAUUUAUUUAUUUAUUAUUUAUUUUUUGUUUAACCAAAAAUAAUGACCGUCCAUUUACUUAAUGUUAUAACUACUAUUUAUUCUAUAAAAUUAGAUAUGCUUAUAACGAUAUUACCAAAAAUAUUAUGCGUUUCAAUGGGUUAAAAAAAUUAUAUAUAUAUUAUAAGUAAUAUAUACAUAAUUUUGGUUCCUUGUAGCAAUAAUAAGAUAAAAUAAUUGUAGUUGUUAAUUUUUAUCCAAUAAUUUAUGUAUAAAACACAAAAAAAAAUAUUAUGGUAAAAUUGCUUUGAAAGAUAACUA